rnacentral:sRNA from 1 species
AACGAAUUAAACAAAUUUAUUUAAAAAUAUUUACUAGCGUCUCGCGGCGGCCAUAUCGGCCAGAUAUUUCGACUGUUUACAUUUGCUCAAUUUACACGGAGUGAGUCUGCCUUUCAGAAAUACAUAUACCGUAAAUACACCGAU